CAAAAGAAGAACAAGGUGGUGGAAAGUUGAGAAAUAAGUGACUUAGUAGGAAGCCUCAUGUCAUUUUGAACCCACAAAGGAGAACUUGGCUCACCAAUUGAGGCAGAUCCGGCCUUAAAGGAUAACCUGUCUGAAAUCCCACUUCUCCACCCAGGUUCUCCACCCAAGAUCCAAGACUCCUGACUUCAGCCAAGUGCCUUGCAGUUGUGACAGAAUUAUUAAAGAGCACAGGGAGUAUCUGGAAUUGGGCAACUGGUGUCUAGGAGCUGAACACACAGCUUAUUCCAGUGGAAAAGACUUUCUUAUACAUCCUUCCACUUGGGAGCCACAGUGAUUCUGAAGUAUUCUGCCAACUAUUCCAUGCUAUUGAAGGGUUUGGAGGUAUCCUGUACAAAUCCUUCAAACUCAGCCAAUUCCAGCAUAGACAGUUGACAGUCAACAUUACAUCUGCCCCAUCAACCAGACUUCUGACACAAUUCCAGCUACUGUUUCAAAAAGCAACUGGCUCCAAUUCCAGGAAAAUCAAUUGAUCCACAAGGCAGAUGGGAAUCUUCCAAGGAACUUCCAAAUGCAAUGAUUUUCAGCCAGGUUCCCAGUCCUGCCUGGAAUGCAUGCUCCCCUGAGGCUGUAAUGUCAGCUUUCAUCAACCACACUCCCUCUUCACAGCGGACUGGCUCCACCAACCACUCUAGGUUGGGUCAGAGCCUCACUGUAGCCUCAUUCCCAGAACCCACUGAUCCAAGCAAUGUGGGCCUGCCCGCUUCUAGGAAGAGGCUCAGAGUUUUAAGAAAUUCAGUCUGAGGUAGAGAAGCUAAUAAAUCAUUCUCCCCCACCCCUUACGCUGCACAAAAUGUAGUAUUUGCUUUAUUUAAAAUGACUGAUUUUGGAUCAAACCUGGUGGUCCAGUGGUUAAGAAUCUGCCUGCCAAUGUG